UACGUAGGGUGCAAGCGUUGUCCGGAAUUAUUGGGCGUAAAGCGCACGUAGGUGGUUUGCUAAGUCAGCUGUGAAAUCCCCGGGCUCAACCUGGGCACUGCAGUUGAAACUGGCAAGCUAGAGUAGGGUAGAGGGGUGUGGAAUUCCAGGUGUAGCGGUGAAAUGCGUAGAUAUCUGGAGGAACAUCAGUGGCGAAGGCGACACCCUGGACUCAUACUGACACUGAGGUGCGAAAGCGUGGGGAGCAAACAGG
rnacentral:rRNA from 1 species